UGACAUCCCAAGAUGUAAAACAUAUAUCUUAUGGAAACAAAACAUAAGAUAUAUUAUUUAGGGCAGCAGAAACAGAAACAUGACCAAAUUUUCUUAGCCAUCAUCGAUGAAACGUGCUUUCUCUUCUUCGGAAUAAUGGUGCUCGGACUCUCCGAUUUGGAUUCAGAUGCUUCCUCUUUCUCCUCCAUCUCUACAUUGUUAGUUUUCAAGAUCAAUUCCUCUGCCAUCUUCAACAAUUUUUUUU
rnacentral:lncRNA from 1 species